rnacentral:rRNA from 1 species
GACGAACGCUGGCGGCGUGCCUAAUACAUGCAAGUAGAACGCACAGUUUAUACCGUAGCUUGCUACACCAUAAACUGUGAGUUGCGAACGGGUGAGUAACGCGUAGGUAACCUGCCUGGUAGCGGGGGAUAACUAUUGGAAACGAUAGCUAAUACCGCAUAAUAUUGAUUAUUGCAUGAUAAUUGAUUGAAAGAUGCUAUUGCAUCACUACCAGAUGGACCUGCGUUGUAUUAGCUAGUAGGUGAGGUAACGGCUCACCUAGGCGACGAUACAUAGCCGACCUGAGAGGGUGAGAGGCAAAACGGGGAAGGAGAAAGGGCACAGACUAGUAGAGGAGGCAGCAGUAGGGAAGAGUAGGAAAUGGAAGAAAGUAUGAACGAGCAAGGCCGAGGGAGUGAAGAAGGUGUACGGAUCGAAAAGCUAGGUUGUAAGAGAAGAACGGGUGAGAGAGUGGAAAGUUCACACUGUGACGGUAUCUUACCAGAAAGGGACGGCUAACUACGUG